GGGAAACUGCCUGAUGGAGGGGGAUAACUACUGGAAACGGUAGCUAAUACCGCAUAACGUCGCAAGACCAAAGAGGGGGACCUUCGGGCCUCUUGCCAUCAGAUGUGCCCAGAUGGGAUUAGCUAGUAGGUGGGGUAACGGCUCACCUGGGCGACGAUCCCUAGCUGGUCUGAGAGGAUGACCAGCCACACUGGAACUGAGACACGGUCCAGACUCCUACGGGAGGCAGCAGUGGGGAAUACUGCACAAUGGGCGCAAGCCUGAUGCAGCCAUGCCGCGUGUAUGAAGAAGGCCUUCGGGUUGUAAAGUACUUUCAGCGGGGAGGAAGGCGAUAAGGUUAAUAACCUUGUCGAUUGACGUUACCCGCAGAAGAAGCACCGGCUAACUCCGUGCCAGCAGCCGCGGUAAUACGGAGGGUGCAAGCGUUAAUCGGAAUUACUGGGCGUAAAGCGCACGCAGGCGGUCUGUUAAGUCAGAUGUGAAAUCCCCGGGCUUAACCUGGGAACUGCAUUUGAAACUGGCAGGCUUGAGUCUUGUAGAGGGGGGUAGAAUUCCAGGU
rnacentral:rRNA from 1 species